GAUGAACGCUGGCGGCGUGCCUAAUACAUGCAAGUCGAGCGAACAGACGAGGAGCUUGCUCCUCUGACGUUAGCGGCGGACGGGUGAGUAACACGUGGAUAACCUACCUAUAAGACUGGGAUAACUUCGGGAAACCGGAGCUAAUACCGGAUAAUAUAUUGAACCGCAUGGUUCAAUAGUGAAAGACGGUUUUGCUGUCACUUAUAGAUGGAUCCGCGCCGCAUUAGCUAGUUGGUAAGGUAACGGCUUACCAAGGCAACGAUGCGUAGCCGACCUGAGAGGGUGAUCGGCCACAUUGGAACUGAGACACGGUCCAGACCCCUACGGGAGGCAGCAGUAGGGAAUCUUCCGCAAUGGGCGAAAGCUUGACGGAGCAACGCCGCGGGAGUGAUGAAGGUCUUCGGAUCGUAAAACUCUGUUAUUAGGGAAGAACAAAUGUGUAAGUAACUAUGCACGUCUUGACGGUACCUAAUCAGAAAGCCACGGCUAACUACGUG
rnacentral:rRNA from 1 species